UACGUAGGGUGCGAGCGUUAAUCGGAAUUACUGGGCGUAAAGCGUGCGCAGGCGGUUCGUUGUGUCGGUGGUGAAAGCCCCGGGCUUAACCUGGGAAUGGCCAUGGAAACUGGCGAACUGGAGUGUGGCAGAGGGGGGUGGAAUUCCGCGUGUAGCAGUGAAAUGCCUAGAGAUGCGGAGGAACACCGAUGGCGAAGGCAGCCCCCUGGGCUAGCACUGACGCUCAGGCACGAAAGCGUGGGGAGCAAACAGG
rnacentral:rRNA from 1 species